GCCCUCAUAGUUUAAUGGAUAGAAUAGUCCCCUCCUAAGGGAUAGAUACAAGUUCGAUUCUUGUUGGGGGUG
rnacentral:tRNA from 1 species